UGGCCUACGGGGGGCAGCAGUGGGGGAUAUUGCACAAUGGGGGGAACCCUGAUGCAGCGACGCUGCGUGGGUGAAGGAGUGCUUCGGCAUGUAAAGCCCUAUCGGCAGGGAAGAAGCAAGACGGUACCUGACUAAGAAGCCCCGGCUAACUACGUGCCAGCAGCCGCGGUAAUACGUAGGGGGCAAGCGUUAUCCGGAUUUACUGGGUGUAAAGGGAGCGUAGACGGCAUGGCAAGUCAGAUGUGAAAGCCCGGGGCUCAACCCCGGGACUGCAUUUGAAACUGUCAGGCU
rnacentral:rRNA from 1 species